UAAAACUGACAUUUUGGUUUCCAUUUCAUCCUGUGGCAUGAAAUGCACAGCGUGUGAAAAGCAGAGCAUAAUGUGGCAGGGUUGGGGUGGGGGAGAUGAAAUCAAACAGAAGUAACUUUAGAGGAAAAUCUGUCACUCAGGUUGGAUUUUCUCUUAUGAUUCACGCUAUCUACUCAUUUGAACAGCAUGGCACUAGGUUGACCUGAGCAGGGAGGAGAGUCACAAGUUACAUCUGGCUUCAGGAUCUCAAAUUUGGUUUAUUGUCUGGUGCAGCAAACCUGAAAUUAAAUGAGCACAUGCAGGAGACUCAUCUUUGUGCAGUCUGUGGAGUCUUGUUGGAGACAAACAGAGCUAUUACCAAGUCCUCCAGUGUCAGAUUCCAAAAUGGACAGACAGGAUCUUCUCCAGGACAGCACUCUGAAGCUGGAGCUUCUUCUUCCACUUGCAUUAGAAAUCUGGUUGCAAAGAAUGUACUGGUGGAGAAUAAAACACUGCUGUCAAUUAGAUGUUCACAAUUCUGCUUUAACCUUGCAACUCCCAAUGCCAAGAUACACUAAAAAUGUUUUCCAUUCUUCUGGGCGCUUCAUUUCUUGUAAUCAGCACAUGACUCUCAUCUAUCAAGGCCCGUAUGAACCACGCUACCAAUGCAUGCUAAAAUUUCAUUCAAGCUGCAAAACUUUGAUGCUCAUGAAAUAAAAAUAAUGAAUAAGAUCCA